UUUUCUCCCUCUCUCUCAUGCUAUACAUGCCCGCCCCACGCACGUGUUUUGUAGUAACUCUGUGUAACAGUAACAUUGUAUGCUGUCAUAUUUCUGAAUUUGCGAAUGACGUGAAUCGGGCGGCACAAUUGCCGCGAAAACAAGCGCUUUUCCCUUUAAACACGUCUUCGCGCAAGUUAAAAAAUAUGCAGCUCAAGCGAAAAAACUUCAAGAAGCAGCUUCAAGAACGAGCACGCAGGAUCUUUUGACAUUGUAGAGGAGAGAGAGACCGAGAGAGAGAGAGAGAGAGGUAAGAAUAGUGCCCACGUUGAGAGAACUUAAUAGAAGACUAAAGUAUGUAUGUCAUUCAUCUAAUUACAGUAUGUUAACUGGAUAACACUGGAUAUAACUCAUUGUAUAGUUUAGUAAAAUAAUGUAUUUUGAUUACACAAAUCAAACAUAUAGUGAUUGUUUUACUAGCUGCUGACCAGCAUAGGGAAUCUCUAUGGCUAAUUUCUAAGACAUGUUGUUGAUACAGUACUGUGUGUUGUACCUUUUCUUGAUAAUUAAGUCUUUUGGGGUAGCAUCUUAUGCCUACACUGUUAGAUGUCGCUGUAGAUUUAGCAGUACAUUACUGUAAAAAUCCACAGUACUAUACUGUAUGUGUACAUUACAGUACAGUACUGCAGUUCAUAAUGCAUUCUGGGUAAAUUUGUUUGAGCGGGAAAAUUUUACAGUAUAUUUUGGUCUUGAUGUAACCUUGCUGUAGCCAUUGCUGUAAUGUGCCAGGUGUACUUGCAAUAAUCAGAGAAAGUGCGCCAACGUCAAAUCACACAGAGGGAGAGAGAGCACAACUCCUGGCUGCAGCUGAAGGAGGACGAUUGAUUUCUGGCAGUUCGUCUUACCAUUGCUUGUAAGCUGGAUUGGGUAAGAUGGAUCAUCUUUAAAGGAACCAGGAGUUAAGGCAGAUGUGGAGGCACAACGGGUGACACCAGACACACCCAAGCACAUUAUGUUCGGACAUUCAAUCAUGACAGGAUCCAGGUGGAUGCUGUCCAUUGAGGAAAGAGUUUGUUCAGCGGUUUCUGGAUAGAAUUAAUUCCAAAGAUGGGAAGAAGUGCACAUCCAGACAAGGAGCAGUUUAAUUUUUAAUUUAUUUUUAGUGUUCAAUGAAAUUCAAGUAGAAUAUUUAAAACUAUGGGCCAGUGUUCUUUUUACCACAGUGAAAUGUUACCUUUUAGUCGAUGAUGGACUUUAAACUGAAAACUUCAAACUAUGGACCAGUGUUCUAUUUGCCAGAGUUAAAUGUUACAGCAGGGGUCUCCAAACUUGUUUAUACUUGUUGAUUUUAUUUUAUUUAACUUGUUUAUAUGUUUAUUAUUGUUUAAAAUCUUGUUUUAAAUAUGUUUUGUUUCAAUUAAAUGUUUUUUUUAAAUAAAAUUUUGAUACAUACAUUGCUUGGAUUGCCUUUUAAUUCAUUAUGUUUUAAUGUAGCAUUUUUACCAUAUUAAUAACUAUAGAUUUAAACCUAAAUAUCUAGCUAUUAUAUAUAAUAUUAUUGUAUUAACUGUAAUAAGUAAUAAAUAGUAUUUAUGGGUCAAUAUAGACAUUACAGUAAAUUACUGUAAAAAUAGACUACUGUAAUAAAAUAUUGUAAAAUUACAGUACAGUACUGCUUUGUAACUAUACAGUACUAGUUUGUGUACUGUAAAAUGGUAUUACAGUACAGUACUGUAAAACCAAAAUACAGUAACUUACUGGCAACCGUGCUGCCAGUACCGUACUGUAAAAAUACAGGGAAAUCGUUAACAGUGUAGAAUUAUUCAAGGAGCUUGAUUCUUUUAACUUCCUUCAACGUUUGAUCAAUUGUGCAUAAUGACAUGUGCAACAAAUGGAUAUAGGGUGUAAAACUCAUAGACUUGCAUCAUUUAAGACGCUCUUUUUAAAAUAUUUUGGGUCAACCUCUGACACAGGAUUUGAUAAGUUUCAGCUUUAAAUCUAUCAGAAGUCCAGAAUGUCAUUGAAACACACCAGUGGCUUUGCUGUCAUCAGGAUUAAACAUGUUACCCCUCGAAGUACCCCUCCCCACAGAGCUCCCACAUAACAAAUCACAAUUUAACCCCUUUAUAUACAUACCCAACCAAUCCCCCCCAAAGAUGAAAACCUAGGGGAAACACUGAACCCCCAUGUGAACAGCUUCAUGCAGUCCCUGAUAGAGUUUGAAUGGGCGACUUCAAACUAAAGGCCAGUGUCUGUCUGCCAAAGUUUAAUGCAUUUACUUUUAGGGGCGGUUUCCCG